CCCCACUGCUUUUCAUUCCCUUCACUGACUACAAUGUUCCCCAUUUAUUUCCUUAAAACCCUAUCCCAGGUGACUGUUUUCCUACCUUUUAUUAAGGGCUUCUGGAGCCUGGAGGAGGACAAUUACCCUUCCCCAGUUGGAAUACGGCUUUGGAAAAAUCUUUUCCUCCAGAGAGCAAUAUUCGAGUUUGGCUUUCAGAUGUGCCUUACAUUUGUAAGAAAAACUGAAAGGGCUUGUGCCUUAAGCAUCCAUUAAUUGUUGAUGUAUCUCCACAGAUGUAUGCUGUGGAGAAGGUCUGCAAAGAGGGUAGUAUAUAUUCCGAGUCUCUGCCGGAGGAGCCGAGGAGACCCUGGCGUGGGGAGAAUGCUGGUGCCAUCCAACAGGAGGUAUGGCUCGUCAGGUGGGGGACAUGCCAGCCCAGUGCCUCCUCACCUGACCAGGGGGAGACCUGCCUCACCCCUACAUGGCCCGUGUUCUGGUUGGAGAUGAAGAGCAUCAUUCCUGCCCUGCUGGAGACCAGGUGAGUAGGGGUCUGG
rnacentral:lncRNA from 12 species